rnacentral:rRNA from 1 species
UGAUUAAGCCAUGCAAGUCGAGAGGGUUCGGCCCUCGGCGUACUGCUCAGUAACACGUGGAUAACCUGCCCUAAGGAAGGGGAUACCCCCGGGAAACUGGGGAUAAUACCCUAUAGGAUACCGGCGCUGGAAUGCCCGGUAUCCCAAAGUUCCGGCGCCUUAGGAUGGAUCUGCGGCCGAUUAGGUUGUUGUCGGGGUAAUGGCCCAACAAGCCGAUAAUCGGUACGGGUUGUGGGAGCAAGAGCCCGGAGUUGGAUUCUGAGACACGAAUCCAGGCCCUACGGGGCGCAGCAGGCGCGAAAACUUUACAAUGCGGGCAACCGUGAUAAGGGAACCUCGAGUGCCCGUACAUGCGGGCUGUCCAGGUGUCUAAAGCACACCUGAAGAAAGGGCCGGGCAAGACCGGUGCCAGCCGCCGCGGUAAUACCGGCGGCUCGAGUGGUGGCCACUUUUAUUGGGCUUAAAGCGUUCGUAGCUGGGUCGGUAAGUCUCUUGGGAAAUCUGGCAGCUUAACUGUCAGGCGUCUAAGAGAUACUGCUGAUCUUGGAACCGGGAGAGGUGAGGGGUACUUCGGGGGUAGGAGUGAAAUCCUGUAAUCCUCGAGGGACCACCUGUGGCGAAGGCGCCUCACCAGAACGGCUUCGACAGUGAGGGACGAAAGCUGGGGGAGCAAACCGGAUUAGAUACCCGGGUAGUCCCAGCCGUAAACGAUGUGCGUUAGGUGUAUCAGUGACCACGAGUCACUGAGGUGCCGAAGGGAAACCGUGAAACGUACCGCCUGGGAAGUACGGUCGCAAGGCUGAAACUUAAAGGAAUUGGCGGGGGAGCA